UACGUAGGGGGCAAGCGUUAUCCGGAUUUACUGGGUGUAAAGGGUGCGUAGGCGGUUUUUUAAGUUAGUGGUUAAACGUCGGGGCUUCACCUUGAUUUGCCAUUAAUACUGUAAGACUCGAGUUCAGACGAGGUAGGCGGAAUAAGUUAAGUAGCGGUGAAAUGCUUAGAUAUAACUUAGAACUCCGAUUGCGAAGGCAGCUCACUGGACUGCAACUGACACUGAGGCUCGAAAGUGUGGGUAUCAAACAGG
rnacentral:rRNA from 1 species